CCUACGUGGCGGCAGCAGUGGGGAAUAUUGGACAAUGGGCGAAAGCCUGAUCCAGCCAUGCCGCGUGUGUGAAGAAGGCCUUCGGGUUGUAAAGCACUUUCAGUGGGGAAGAAAGCCUUGGGGCUAAUACCCUCGAGGAAGGACAUCACCCACAGAAGAAGCACCGGCUAACUCCGUGCCAGCAGCCGCGGUAAUACGGAGGGUGCGAGCGUUAAUCGGAAUUACUGGGCGUAAAGCGCGCGUAGGCGGUCUGAUAAGCCGGUUGUGAAAGCCCCGGGCUCAACCUGGGAACGGCAUCCGGAACUGUCAGGCUAGAGUGCAGGAGAGGAAGGUAGAAUUCCCGGUGUAGCGGUGAAAUGCGUAGAGAUCGGGAGGAAUACCAGUGGCGAAGGCGGCCUUCUGGACUGACACUGACGCUGAGGUGCGAAAGCGUGGGUAGCAAACAGGAUUAGAUACCCGAGUAGUC
rnacentral:rRNA from 1 species